UACGGAGGGGGCUAGCGUUGUUCGGAAUUACUGGGCGUAAAGCGCACGUAGGCGGCUUUGUAAGUUAGAGGUGAAAGCCCGGGGCUCAACUCCGGAAUUGCCUUUAAGACUGCAUCGCUCGAAUUGUGGAGAGGUAAGUGGAAUUCCCGGUGUAGCGGUGAAAUGCGUAGAUAUCGGGGAGGAACACCUGUGGCGAAGGCGGCCUGCUGGGCAGUAGCUGACACUGAGGCGCGACAGCGUGGGGAGCAAACAGG
rnacentral:rRNA from 1 species